rnacentral:lncRNA from 1 species
UGAUUUUGAAGGCUAUGCCUCCCAGAAAUCCUCCCUGUGAAUACGAUGCGUUUUAUUCACUUACGACAAUGUUGUGACAUCAAUCAUGUCCUGCAGUAUGGGCUGCAGCCAUUAUGGUGCCCGGUACUUUCCCUGUAAUUAUUUUUCAAGUCAUUUCCAGAGUACUUCAUUAAAUGUUUUUAAUGCCGCUAUGGGGAAUCAGAAAAUAAACUAAUUCCAUUUUCCAGGGCUUUUAAGAAAUGUAGCUUUAUUUUAGGUUGAAGUUAAUUUUGUAUUGCUACCUUUGUCAGAGGCAUACAAGGUAGUACUUUUUAUCUUUGGAAGAUAAGGAUUUCAUUGUUGCAAUCUAGGAAAAAAUGCCUAUACCAGUGAAGUCUCUCUCUCUCUCUCUCUCUCUCUCUCUCUCUCUCUCUCUCUUUUUUAAUUUGGCAAGGGAGGGAGGAAAAGCAACGUUACCAUUCCCUCUCCCAUAUGCUCCAACUUUUAUGUCUGUUUUGCCAUCUAUUCCAUUAACCUUAUGAUUAAUGAAAGUCUCCAGAAUUUUAAAUACCUUGAAAGGGAGCCAACGCCUGGUCUUUGGAGGCUAUGUUGAAAAUAAACAACGAUAAAAACGGGGAGAUGCAGGCUUUUGAAGUCCUUAAAGACACGACCACUGUGAUCUUUGUACCACGGUGCAGAAAAGAGGACAGCAUUUCACAUUUCUGGCAUUACUCACGACAACACAGCCACUGAAAGCGAGCAUGAAUUUCUGGGAGUAGCAUUAGGAUACAGGGCUCCUGCUGAGCUCACCAGUUCCUUGCUCUGCACAGCUGCCUUCUCAGCUGGGGGUUUUUAAAUCAGCACAGUGAGAAAAGAUAGCAAUGGCCAUGAUGCAUCUUCCUCCCUAUGAGAAAAAGUUAUGGGAGAAGGAUUCUGAACUUCUCGUGGCUGUGCUGACAUCAGUAAGAGUUGGAGAAAGUAUACAUUUAAGAAAACGUAUACAUUCCCACCCACAGGAUAUUAAGAUUUUGAUUCUGCAUUCCGAGAUUUCAAAGCUGGAGUUGAUAUUUUCAAAUAAACAGUUCUUUAAGAGACACAGGAACAUCUUACGUUAGGACCACGCCACGAAGGGGCUGUUUCUAAAAAGUCUUUGGAUGUGUCACAGAGCGUCGCUUCUUGGUUAUAACCUUGGUUUAUCUCAGUUCUGAUUUUCCUCUCCGCCUGUGUUGAGCAAGUCAAUUUGAACAUGGCUCUUCUGGAAUGAUUUUAAUUCCUACGAUGGUAUGGCUACUUCUCUCAGUAGGAUAAUCCUGCCACAAUUCUUCCAACAUUGCACUUUACUUACCUUCUGGAAAGCAGACUUCAAGACUGUUGACCUGUCUGUUGGCCCCAAGCGAUAGGGUGUGUAGGAAACAUUUCUUCCUGAGGGAUCCUCUCAAGGGGAGUGCUUGGACAAUAGCUUCACCGAAGGUACACCUUGUUCUUAAUUAAAUGCUACUUGUCACUGGUAUCUGCCCCUCUCUGUUGAGUGUUUUUGUAAUACAGGAAUCAAGUUGCAUGAUCCCAGCCAGAGGCCACAACACCAACCAGGAGAGCAGUCAGCUUAUAGCCACCCAAGUCAGCAGGCACUUUCCACGAACCCUGGAAAUCAACAUAUUCUUGGGGUCCAGAUUUAUUUUGUUGUUGUUUGAAAUCUAAAUGUCAAGCGUGAGAAAUCAUACUGGACAUAUUAUUCUUGAAAUUCUUUUGUUCCCAAAUAAUUGGCAGAACUUUGAGCAUAUUCUUCUCAAAAAGGAAAUACGGUGACAUACUCUGGACAGUCCAAACCAAACGUCCAAAAGGAGAAAACCACGGUUGUUCUGGGGGGAAUUAGAAGGCUGACAGACUCUUGCCACCAUGGAACCCUACUCACACUGCUACUUGUCUCUGGUGGUUCCCGCUCUACUUUAUACAUUCCUAAGGGAGAGAGUGGGUCAUGUGUCUCUACACUUGACUCAGUCAACCAUGGCCAAAGAGACUGGUGGCAUUAACCAAUGGAGGGUGAUUACAAGGGUUCCAGUGCCCCCAGCCUGUGUUCUGCGAUUACACUUGUCUUUUCCUCAUUUUCUUUUUUAAAAAUAGGUUUAAAGUUUAUUUAUUUAUUUUGAGAGAGAGAGAGAGAGGCAGAGACAGAGACAGAAACAGAGAGAGAUGCAGAGAGAAUCCCAAGCAGGCUCUGCACUGGCAGCACUGAGUCAGACACAGGGCUCCAUCUCGGGAACUGUGAGAUCAUGACCUGAGCUGAAAUCAAGAGUCUGAUGCUUAACUGACUGAGACACCCACGCGCCCCUCCUCAUUUUCUUGAAAGGACCUACCUUCCAAAUAAAAGUGCCUUGCCAACACCGAUUGUCA